rnacentral:miRNA from 1 species
GAAUCGCUUGAACCCAGGAGGUAGAGGCUGCAGUGAGCCAAGAUCGUGCCACUGCACUCCAGCCUGGGAGACAGAGGGAGACU